AAGACUGUACUUUCAGAGAUUGUUUUUAAAGUUGGUAGCUAGAAAAAUGUACUUGAAAGUGGUUGGUCUUACUAGCUAUGAGAAUGAAUCACAAUGUUCUCUUCUGAGCAUGAAGCAAGCAGAUAGUGUUGUUUUAAUGUAAUUGCUGUUGGUGAUUGUUCCUUUUUUCCUGUUGGGAAGCUGGAGGAAGAGAGCACAGGCUGAGUGC
rnacentral:snoRNA from 1 species